CCUCUCUCUCUCUCUCACACACACACACACACACACAACCGCCACGACAGAUGCAGUGCCACCACCAUGCGACGCACUCAUCCCUCUCGGUUUGGCUCUCCGUCUCUCAGAUAUCUCUCCCUUCCAUUCUCUUCUCUGUCUCUCUCUCUCUAGACUAGGGCUCCACCACCGCCGCCUCCAUGGCACGACACCAAAACCUGGUUUACAAAACACUCAUGAGACAGCCCAUGCCAUCAGAAAGUUGCCAUUGGGAAAGGCAAAGAGAUAUUUAGAGGAUGUUCUGGUCCACAAACAGGCAAUCCCCUUCCGACGUUUCUGUUGUGGUGUUGAAAGCACUUGAGCUUAUGCUUGUUGUCUUGCUAUAUGAAAUUAUCUUUCCCAUUAAAUAAGUUAUUUGGUCAAUUGAUAUGUUUUUAACUGUCAUUUCAUUCAUUUUCAUGGUGAUGGCUUUGGAACCUUGUCAUGGUCCUCCCAAAGUACAUUUAUCAAUGCUGAAAUACACAUCUAUUUAGUUCAACUAAAGGCCAGUUAGUUUAGCGACCUCCUACAUUAUCUUAGUAGUCUUUUGUGUGCUAGAAUCCUUACAACCCUUGGCUCUAGAAAAGGUGUAAAAUAUGGGAUUUCUGUUCAAAUAAUUGUUAUAUAGCCUAAUAGUUUCCUUUCCUUGCUUGUGAAUGCUAAAGUUACUAUGAUAGAAACAAUAUCAACUCCUAGAAUGGCAGUUUAGAGCCUCAUGUUUGGCUCUAAACAGAAUUUGGCUCUAACAGAGAGUUUUAGAGUCCUUCAAAAUGUUACAACCAGCCCUGUGGUGGUGGAAUUUUACAACCAGCUCUGAUUUUGGUUCUGAAAUCGGGAUUGAUCCUCUCUAUAUAUGUUUGCCUUGUGAUCCUCUCUAAUUUUGGUUCUUGGUGAGCUGAAUGAUAUAUAUAUAUAUAUAUAUAUAUCUUGGUGGUAGUAGAAGUGCAACAUUUUGAAGAAGGAUUCAGUGAUGAUAGUAUACCCCAUCAGUGAUCUUUAAUAACCUUUCUUCACUUAUUCUUCUUGAUGGUGAAGAAGGUUAAGUAAGGUGUACACUUUAUAUCUUGAUUAUUGAUUAAGCCUCUGUGAUAUUACCCCUGUGACAUUGAUAUGAUAGUUUCUUUAUGCUCAUACAUGAUGGAAUAAAUAUGGCUGACCUUUUAUAUUCAUAUAUUUAUUCUAUAUUUUUUUAUGUAUUUUUUUUAUAGGUAAUGAAGAAUUCAUGUGCAAGAAAAUGGUGAUGAUAAUGAACAAGAUGAUGUUGAAGACAAUGAUACUUGAUACAGCUGAGCUAUUUCUGGUGAACUUUCCAUUUUAUUUUUUUCGCUUCUCAUCUGGUUCCUGGUGAUGAGAAUCACAAACACCAAUUAGUAUAAACCUUUUUAGUUAUAUAUGGCAUGACAAUCUUAUUGAAAUGGUUGCACCUUGUAAGACUCACUGUUAUUUACCUAGUCUCUGUUCUUCUGCUUA